rnacentral:lncRNA from 1 species
AGGGUGCAAUUUUCUUCCAAAUUUUGUGCAAAAAUGUGACUAUGCGGCCUUACAUGUCUAGCGCGAGACUCCCAUGAAUAAAAUAAUUUCGACCCUCAUGUGUGUGUUGUGUCAACCUCGUACUCAUCCAUACGUGCACUGUAGCACGACUCUUUCAGUUUUAAUUCUAUUUAUCUGACAUGAUUCCAUUUUCAGAAUGUACCAUUUAAUCCUUUUGAUUUUCUAUCCCAAGUUUUGCCCUUUUAUCAAUCAAUGAAUUACAGGGUGUAGGGUUGCACAAAAAAAUCGCGAAACUGCAAAUCGAACCGAAAUCGUUGAGUUGAAACCGUUGGUUCGGGUCCACGUGGACCUGUGAUUUCUUUUUCUUCAAACCGAACCAAACCGUUUCAAAAUGGUUUGGUUUAGAUUUUGAUUUUCAAAAACCGCACAAAAUCAAACCGAACCAUUUUUAAAUUUUUUAAUUAAAAAUUAAUUUUAAAAUUUUUACUGUUUUCAUUUUUUUAAAUAAAAAAUAUCAAUUUAACAAUACAAAUUACAACUAGC